rnacentral:rRNA from 1 species
UGGGGAAUUUUGCACAAUGGGGGAAACCCUGAUGCAGCGACGCCGCGUGAUUUAGAAGGCCUUCGGGUUGUAAAAAUCUUUUCUAUGGGAAGAAAAUGACAGUACCAUAGGAAUAAGGACCGGCUAAUUACGUGCCAGCAGCCGCGGUAAUACGUAAGGUCCGAGCGUUGUCCGGAAUCAUUGGGCGUAAAGGGUACGUAGGCGGGUAAGCAAGUUAGAAGUGAAAUCCUAUAGCUCAACUAUAGUAAGCUUUUAAAACUGCUCAUCUUGAGGUAUGGAAGGGAAAGUGGAAUUCCUAGUGUAGCGGUGAAAUGCGCAGAUAUUAGGAGGAAUACCGGUGGCGAAGGCGACUUUCUGGCCAUAACCUGACGCUGAGGUACGAGAGCGUGGGUAGCAAACAGG